UGUAGGGUUUUUAGUUCAAUUGAAACAAUCUCUGGUCUCCAUAAAGAUUCUACGCACCCCUUCUCCCUUCGUAUCUGAUAUCUCCAUCUCCAUCUCUUCUGAUUCCAACUGCAGCACCAACACCUCCUCUCAAGUCUUAAUUUAGCAAGUUACUAGCGGCUUCAUCUCUCCAUCUCUCUCGAUCUUCUCUCCCUCUAUCUCUUCAUCUCUCUCGAUCUUCUCAAUCUUCUCCAUUUCGCUACCGCUCCGCCUUCGGUGACACCUAGUGGCCGUCGACUGCCACAGUCUGCAACGCAAGGCAUAAAACCAUGAUCUUUGUUUCUCAACCGGAUAUCUCUCCAAUCUAUUAUUCAGGUUCAUUCCUAUCUCUCUCAUUUAUUUUUUGAUCCAUAUUUACUCAUUUCGAUUUGCCAUAAGUUCUUUUCAUUGGUGAUUCUACUGUGAAAGGAUUACUUUAGUUUUGAUACUUAGCUUUUAAUUAGUUUGUGAUUGAGAAUCAUUCAAAUUUCAAGUUUCAUGUUUGAUACUUAGCUUUUACUUGGUGUUAUUUAGACUUGUUACAUGUUUUUCCUCUGUUUCUGGUUGCCCAAUUAUUCCCUAUCCAAAUUAGAUUUUUAUUCUCACAAAAAAAAAAAAAAAAAAA